AUCUAGUUAGUUUAAUAAAAAACAAUAGCUUGUGGUGCUAUAAAUAUAUUUGAUUUAUAUUAGAUA
rnacentral:tRNA from 1 species